AUGUAAAAUGACUCUCGGCAACGGAUAUCUCGGCUCUUGGAUCUAUGAAGAACGUAGCGAAAUGCGAUACUUGGUGUUCAUUGCAGAAUCCCGUGAACCAUCGAGUCUUUGAACGCAAGUUGCGCCCAAAGCCAUUAGGCUGAGGGCACGCCUGCCUGGGUGUCACAC
rnacentral:rRNA from 1 species